AUUGAACGCUGGCGGCAUGCUUUACACAUGCAAGUCGAACGGUAACAGGCCGCAAGGUGCUGACGAGUGGCGAACGGGUGAGUAAUGCAUCGGAACGUGCCCAGUCGUGGGGGAUAACGCAGCGAAAGCUGUGCUAAUACCGCAUACGAUCAAUGGAUGAAAGAGGGGGACCGUAAGGCCUCGCGCGAUUGGAGGGGCCGAUGUCAGAUUAGGUAGUGGGUGGGGUAAAGGCUCACCAAGCCAACGACCUGUAGCUGGUCUGAGAGGACGACAAGCCACACUGGGACUGAGCCACGGCCCAGACUCCUACGGGAGGCAGCAGUGGGGAAUUUUGGACAAUGGGCGCAAGCCUGAUCCAGCAAUGCCGCGUGCAGGAAGAAGGCCUUCGAGUUGUAAACUGCUUUUGUACGGAACGAAAAGGUUUGGGUUAAUACCCUGGGCCGAUGACGGUACCGUAAGAAUAAGCACCGGCUAACUACGUGCCAGCCGCCGCCGUAAUAC
rnacentral:rRNA from 1 species